GAUGAACGCUAGCUACAGGCUUAACACAUGCAAGUCGAGGGGAAACGAUAUUGGAAGCUUGCUUCCGAUAGGCGUCGACCGGCGCACGGGUGAGUAACGCGUAUCCAACCUGCCCAUCACUUGGGGAUAACCUUGCGAAAGUAAGACUAAUACCCAAUGACGUCUCUAGAAGACAUCUGAAGGAGAUUAAAGAUUUAUCGGUGAUGGAUGGGGAUGCGUCUGAUUAGCUUGUUGGCGGGGUAAACGGGCCCACCCAAAGGCGACGAUCAGUAAGGGGUUCGUGAGAGGAAGGUCCCCACCAUUGGAACUGAGACACGGUCCAAAC
rnacentral:rRNA from 1 species